UGGGAAUAUUGCACAAUGGGCGCAAGCCUGAUGCAGCGACGCCGCGUGGGGGAUGACGGCCUUCGGGUUGUAAACCUCUUUCAGCAGGGACGAAGCGAAAGUGACGGUACCUGCAGAAGAAGCACCGGCCAACUACGUGCCAGCAGCCGCGGUAAUACGUAGGGUGCGAGCGUUGUCCGGAAUUACUGGGCGUAAAGAGCUCGUAGGUGGUUUGUCGCGUUGUUCGUGAAAAAGCCCGGGGGGCUUUAAACCCCUCGGGCAGUGGCGGGCGAUACGGGCAGACUAGGAGUACUGCAGGGGAGACUGGAAUUCCUGGUGUAGCGGUGGAAUGCGCAGAUAUCAGGAGGAACACCGGUGGCGAAGGCGGGUCUCUGGGCAGUAACUGACGCUGAGGAGCGAAAGCGUGGGGAGCGAACAGGAUUAGAUA
rnacentral:rRNA from 1 species